UCCGAGUUGACCCCGGCAGUCUCCUGCGAGUCCCCGCCAUUACGCGCUGGCAACACAGGACAAGGGUUGCGCUCGUUGCGGGACUUAACCCAACAUCUCACGACACGAGCUGACGACAGCCAUGCACCACCUAUCGCAGGCCCCGAAGGACACCGUAUCUCUACGGCUUUUCCUGCGUAGUUCAACCCAGGUAAGGUUCUUCGCGUUGCGUCGAAUUAAACCACAUGCUCCGCUGCUUGUGCGGGCCCCCGUCAAUUCCUUUGAGUUUCAACCUUGCGGUCGUACUUCCCAGGUGGGAUACUUAAUGCUUUCGCUCAGACACACACUGUGUAUCGCGUAUGUCGAGUAUCCAUCGUUUACGGCUAGGACUAC
rnacentral:misc_RNA from 1 species